UGCAUUGUGGAGUAGCGGUCAAGCUCGGCGAUCGGCACAGAUGCAGACGGCGGUUCGAAUCCGUCCAGUGCAA
rnacentral:tRNA from 1 species